GAUGAACGCUGGCGGCGUGCCUAAUACAUGCAAGUCGAGCGAACAGACGAGGAGCUUGCUCCUCUAACGUUAGCGGCGGACGGGUGAGUAACACGUGGAUAACCUACCUAUAAGACUGGGAUAACUUCGGGAAACCGGAGCUAAUACCGGAUAAUAUAUUGAACCGCAUGGUUCAAUAGUGAAAGACGGUUUUGCUGUCACUUAUAGAUGGAUCCGCGCCGCAUUAGCUAGUUGGUAAGGUAACAGCUUACCAAGGCAACGAUGCGUAGCCGACCUGAGAGGGUGAUCGGCCACACCGGAACUGAGACACGGUCCAGACUCCUACGGGAGGCAGCAGUAGGGAAUCUUCCGCAAUGGGCGAAAGCCUGACGGAGCAACGCCGCGUGAGUGAUGAAGGUCUUCGGAUCGUAAAACUCUGUUAUUAGGGAAGAACAAAUGUGUAAGUAACUAUGCACGUCUUGACGGUACCUAAUCAGAAAGCCACGGCUAACUACGUG
rnacentral:rRNA from 1 species